UCGAGCCGAGCACAAGAUGGCGACUCCGCCGUCCGCGCUCGGGGCCGAGUCCUGGCGCCCCUUCUUGCGGCGCGAGCGCGCUCCUGAGGCCCCACUAAAAAUAGUCGGGGCCCAUCUAUAUUUGGUUCGCCGGAUCCCGCGGCGGCCGCGCGCGCCCCGCCCCGCCCCGCCUCGCCCCGCCCCGCGCCGCGCUGAAUGGAGACGGGCGGGGGUGACCGAGGGGAACCUACUCCGCUAUCUGCCGCGCGCGCCGCCGCCCGGGCCCGGCCAACCGCCCGAUUUAGUAACAUCGCCUGCGUCAAUCACGCGCCUCGCGUGCGUCAGCGCCGCGCGGCUCCAGGUCCUGCUCCCCCAACCCCCAGCCUUUGAAUGGAUCCAAUGUAGGAGCGCCCUCCUUCCCUCCGGGCGGGCAUGGGAACGCACCCGCGGGCGACAGGGGGCUCGGUUCCCCUGGGGUAGGGCAACUUUCGGAGCGUCCCCUCCUGGUCUUAGGCACAGCAGCUUGCUGAAGUGAAAGUGGAGGCGUGGACUAACUACGCUGCGCAAGGCUGUUUUGCUUUUCGAGUUUCUGGUCCUAGCUCGAACCUUCUUCGAUUCUGAAGCCUGUGUGGAGACAAGCGGAUCCUCUUCCCCCAGCUAUGACACCCGCACGCCCAAAACGUUGGGACGGGUUUAAAGAAAAUGCCACCCGGGAUUCUAGCGGGCCACGAGAGACCGCAGCUGUCUGAAUUGUUUCGUUCAAGCAUUUCCUUCCAAGAAAGUGACACCCUACGUUCAUUUCCAAGAAGAAAUAGCUGUCCCUCCUACAAUCGCCCAGGCUUUCUGCACAAACUAAGAAGACAAAUGUGACCCAGGUGACCAUAGGACAUCCCCUAGAGACAGACUAAUAAAUCCUGUUGAUUGA